rnacentral:lncRNA from 1 species
UGAUAUUGCUGAGACCCCUCAGCCAUGGGACUUUUGAGGAAAGAACCUGGGGCACCUUUGACAUCAAGAAGGUGGUGCAAGAAGGGCUGAGUCUCCAAAGCAUCCUUACCAGAAGACCUUCCAAGCUCUGGAUGCCUCACUGUGAUUCUACUCACUCCUAUCUCCUUUUUCCUUUCACAAAGGUGUGGAGAUUUUGGAGCCUGCAGAGGUGCAUCUCGCUGACUGCAGCUCGCAGAAGGGAUAUGAAGAUCUGGGAAGCCCAUUCUCAUGAUGCAAGCCAAGCUCUGCUGCUCAGAAGAGACACAGGUGCUGCAUCAAGCUGACACAGCCCUGGCUGGAUGUACAUUUCCAGAUGUCUUUCUAAAGCAAACUCCAAGUGAAGGAACACCACCCUUCUCUGUAAGUAUUCUUUCAUCUUUCCAGUAUUGCUGCUCUGGAUGUGAUACAUCCUCACAUUGUGCUUUUGUCCAUCAUCAACGUACAAAGUAGAAGCUUUCCUCAGCUGCCUAUGGCAAUGCCACGUGGCUUCAGCUAGUUUAGGGAUUCCUGAUAUGUGAAGGUAAUGUUAAGUGGUUUCUCACUUGUUCCAGGCAUAGGCUGUGGCUCUGGGCAGCCUGGUUUUGGUGGUUGU